GUCAUUGCAUACUCAGGAGCAACAUACCUGCAAAUUCACAAUAUAAAUUAAAAUCAAAUCUCAAGAGCCUAGCAUCUACAGCAUAUUCAUGGAACAAGAGACCUUACACUCCAUCAGGCCCAGAAUGUAUUCUUCGUCAAAAGAUAAGACAUAAAUCAACGUCUUAAAGAGUGAAUCAGGCUAAGUUUUCGCAACAUUGCACCACAUGAACUUAAGUUGGAUGGAUUAAGGAGGAUGUACUUAAUAAGAAACCACAGUCACCAUUCACUAGUGACAACCAACCAAUUUUCACACAA